AAUGAACGCUGGCGGUAGGCCUAACACAUGCAAGUCGAACGGCAGCACAGUAAGAGCUUGCUCUUACGGGUGGCGAGUGGCGGACGGGUGAGGAAUACAGCGGAAUCUACUUUUUCGCGGGGGAUAACGUAGGAAAACUUACGCUAAUACCGCAUACGACCUACGUGUGAAAGCAGGAGAACUUCGGACCUUGCGCGAUUGAAUGAGCCGAUGUCGGAUUAGCUAGUUGGCGGGGUAAAGGCCCACCAAGGCGACGAUCCGUAGCUGGUCUGAGAGGAUGAUCGGCCACACUGGAACUGAGACACGGUCCAGACUCCUACGGGAGGCAGCAGUGGGGAAUCUUGGACAAUGGGCGCAAGCCUGAUGCAGCCAUGCCGCGUGAGUGAAGAAGGUCUUCGGGUUGUAAAGCCCUUUUGUUGGGAAAGAACAUCAGCAGGUUAAUCCCCCGCUGUUCUGACGGUACCCAAAGAAUAAGCACCGGCUAACUUCGUG
rnacentral:rRNA from 1 species